AUUGAACGCUGGCGGCAGGCCUAACACAUGCCAGUCGAGCGGAUGAAGGGAGCUUGCUCCUGGAUUCAGCGGCGGACGGGUGAGUAAUGCCUAGGAAUCUGCCUGGUAGUGGGGGAUAACGUCCGGAAACGGGCGCUAAUACCGCAUACGUCCUGAGGGAGAAAGUGGGGGAUCUUCGGACCUCACGCUAUCAGAUGAGCCUAGGUCGGAUUAGCUAGUUGGUGGGGUAAAGGCCUACCAAGGCGACGAUCCGUAACUGGUCUGAGAGGAUGAUCAGUCACACUGGAACUGAGACACGGUCCAGACUCCUACGGGAGGCAGCAGUGGGGAAUAUUGGACAAUGGGCGAAAGCCUGAUCCAGCCAUGCCGCGUGUGUGAAGAAGGUCUUCGGAUUGUAAAGCACUUUAAGUUGGGAGGAAAGGCAGUAAGUUAAUACCUUGCUGUUUUGACGUUACCAACAGAAUAAGCACCGGCUAACUUCGUG
rnacentral:rRNA from 1 species